rnacentral:ncRNA from 1 species
UAAAAAAUUAUUUUAUAUUUAUUAUUAUAUAUUAUUAUUACUAUAAAUUUAUUAAAUAAAUCAUGUUGUAGUUUUUAAGAUUAAUUGUAUUAAUUGAUUUAUAUAUAAAAUAUAAAAAUUAUUAAAAAUUAUAGUAAAUUAUAGUUAAUAGAGAAUUCUGAAACAAUGAAUGAAAGUUUUAUUCGGAAAUUAGUUCUAGUAAGGAUAAAUAUGAGUGCCAGCAAUAGCGGUUAAACUCGACUUAUAAAUUAAUUUUUUCUAAUAUUAAUUUAAAUUGUAAUAAAAAUUAUAAUUAAAUUUAUUGAUUUUAGGUGAAAUUUUGAAUUAAUAAUAAUAAUUAUAAAUAAUUUUUUUUGUCAUUAAAAAAUUUAAUAAAAAACUAGGAUUAGAUACCCUACUAUAAAAAGAGUAAAUAAAUAUAUUAAGUUAGUAAAUGUUGAAUCAUUAAAAUUAAACGAUAUGGCGGCUUUUUAUAUCUAGUUAGAGAUGUUUGUCGAUUAAUUUGAUAGUCCACGAUAAGAUCUACUUAAGUUUAAAUUUAUGUAUUGUUGUUUUAACUGGCUUGAAUUUAUUUGGGUUAGAGAAAUUUUAUAUAAUAAUAAUUCAAAUCAAAAUGUAGUAUAUUUAAGAUAUAAGAUGAAUAUCAAUAAAUUUAAUUUUAGAAUUAUUUAUUUUAAUAUAAAUAUGAAAGAGAAUUUAAAAGUAAAUUAAAGUAAUUUCUUUAAUUGAAGAUAGUAUUAAAAAGUGUACAAAUCGCCCGUCAAUUUCAUUAAAAUUGAAAUAAGUCGUAACAUAGUAAGAGUACCGGAAGGUGUUUUUAGAUUAAA